CGGGUGGUAAUACCGGAUGCUCCGCUCCAUCGCAUGGUGGGGUGGGAAAUGCUUUUGCGGCAUGGGAUGGGGUCGCGUCCUAUCAGCUUGUUGGCGGGGUGAUGGCCCACCAAGGCGUUGACGGGUAGCCGGCCUGAGAGGGUGACCGGCCACAUUGGGACUGAGAUACGGCCCAGACUCCUACGGGAGGCAGCAGUGGGGAAUAUUGCACAAUGGGCGCAAGCCUGAUGCAGCGACGCCGCGUGCGGGAUGGAGGCCUUCGGGUUGUAAACCGCUUUUGUUCAAGGGCAAGGCACGGUUUCGGCCGUGUUGAGUGGAUUGUUCGAAUAAGCACCGGCUAACUACGUGCCAGCAGCCGCGGUAAUACGUAGGGUGCGAGCGUUAUCCGGAUUUAUUGGGCGUAAAGGGCUCGUAGGCGGUUCGUCGCGUCCGGUGUGAAAGUCCAUCGCCUAACGGUGGAUCUGCGCCGGGUACGGGCGGGCUGGAGUGCGGUAGGGGAGACUGGAAUUCCCGGUGUAACGGUGGAAUGUGUAGAUAUCG
rnacentral:rRNA from 1 species